GAUUCAGUGUGAGGCCUGGCGUGGGCAAGGGGAGUCAGCCGGAACUGAAAUGUUAUCUCUUCUGACGGUGGGGCUGCCUGGCCUGACCUCGGGGACUUGGGGCUUCGCGAUCUGCAGGAAGCGGAGACCAGGUCUGAGCGCCGGGGCACGGGAGUGACCAGAGUAACAGGCCCAAACCUCGCUGGGUGUCCACCUCGCCCGGUAGGGUACAGCCAGGCUUCGUGAGGAGGGGUGUGCGUGUAUGUGGUGCAAAGGUUUCACACGUAAGUGGGCCCUCUACCACCGAGCCACGCAUGCCCAGUGUGGAACCUUCUGCUUUCCACAGAAGCACAGGAUCUCAGGCCACAUCUCAUCCCCAGGUAGGAACCUCUCUGAUGGCAUGAAAUCCUUUCAAGUCCCAAGCAAAUAAAACAAAUACCCAAAUUUAGGAAAGGGCCGGAUGGAGGGCUUCGUUCAGCUUGCUUUGGGCCUCAGUACUAAGUAGCUCACUUACACAUCUUGUCCUGUCCUAGACACUGUACAUAGGAUGGUGGCCACUAGAGGACAGCAGAGGCCCACACUAUCCUUUCAUCCUGGGAGGGAGGGGGGCAGAAUGGGGAAAGUAGGAAGGGUAGGGUGAAAAAUUUUCAGGCUUCCAUACUACCAGGUACAAAUGGCCUUUGGUAAAUCCCACCAAGGGGAGGGCCCGGAGACCCUAGUCAGGGCUGCAGGAAGGAAGUCUCGCUGACUCCCAGAGAAAGGGUGCGACUGGCCUAUACCUUUUGAUCCCUGACACUGGGUUGACUAACUUCUGCCUGGGCUCCUUGAGGCCAGGCAGUCAGAACUGCAGAGGGCUAACAGUCCAUCUGCCAGAGACUCCACCUCUAGCCCCGGCCUGGCCACCCCAGUCUUCUACCCACUGAGCCACCCGCUUCACAGAAAUGCGUUGUCCUGGCCCUGCCCCUUCCCCUAUAAUUCGGGGGUCCUUCGAAGAGGGCACAUCAGGGCUUGCAGUUCUUUCUGGAAAUUCUUGGGGCUUUUACAUGGAAGUUGACCUGUCCUCCAGCCCCAUUUGCUCAGCGAGGAAAGGACCCCUGGAGUGGAGGGUGGAGCCAGACUGGUCCCCUGGAGUGGAGGGCAGAGCCAGACUGGUCCCCGGAAGAGUCUGGCAACCUGUGUGCCUGCUCAGGAAAGCACAGCUCACCUGUACCGUCGCUUCCUCCGGGACCCAGACUCAGACCUGUGGAGUGGCAGACAAAUUCUUCUGAGUCUUCUUGGGCACAGCCACGGGGGGCACAGCCCAGGGAAUGAGACAGGCCACAGGGGGCAGGGGUGUGUGGAGAGGAGAGGUCCAGUUACCUAUCUCUGCGGUGCUUCUUCACACCCUUCUUCUUCUUGCGCAGGGGGGAGGCACUCCCACAGCUGUGGACACAGGGGUGAGUCACUGGUGAGCUGGGGGCAGAGGGGAGAGGAUGGGUGUGGCUGAAGGGGGCUGGGAAGAGGUGGCAGGCUAUUGCGCCCAGACUCCCUUGUAUAGAAUGAGAGCCUACGGACCAGGUGGGCAAAGACUCCUAAAAUUGAUACGACUGCCUGUCCCUUAGUUACCUUUCCUCCUGUGUGUGUGUGUGUGUGUGUGCAGAUGCACACCUGUGUGCACGCAGAGCCCAGAGGUCAACCUUGGACAUCUUUAUGAGGAACUAACCACAUAUGUUUAUUUAGUGUGUGUGCGUGCACACGACAUGGUGCAUGCAUGGAGCUCAGAGGACAGCCUCUGGAAAGUUCUCUUCUUCCACUAGGUAGUUCCUGGUGACUCCACACAGGUCAUCAGGCUUGGCUACAGUUUCUUUCACUGCUGAGCCAUCUCACCAGCCCGUGUUUUCUGAGUUGGGAUCUUUCACUGACUUCUGGGACAUGCCGCCUUGAAGAGGCAGGCCAGUGAGCUCGCUCCUCAAUUCCUUUGUGGUGUUGGCUUGUUUUUGAGACAGGCCUUUCUGUGUAGCCCAGGCUAGCCUUGCAUUCAUGGUCCUUCUACCUUGCCCCCCCCCCAAAGUGGUCUUGUAUAGGCGAAGGGAAGAAUUUAUUAUUUAUUUUUUUGAUGUUUGGAGACAGGGCUUCUCAGUGCAUCUUUGGCUGUCCUGGAGCUCACUCUGUAGACCAGGCUGACCUCAAACUCACAGAUCUGCCUGCCUCUGCCUGUGCUGGAAUUAAAGGCAUGUGCCACCACGCCUGGCUCGGGAAGAAAUGUUUUUCUGGUCUGGUGGUCUGGUUUUCUUAUGGUGCUGGAGACAGAAUCCAGAGCUGUGCACUUGGCAAACUCAUCAGCUCUGAGAUGUCUCCAGUCCUUGGGAUUUCUAGGCUGUGUAUGCAAACACUGGUACCAGAAAGUCCCGUGUCCAGCCCCUGAGGUGCCAGGCCUCUAGUCUCCGGAUGGUGGCCUUGCAUUCCUUCCCACCCACAGGUGCGCCCUCUGGGUCCCAGCCCUCCCCGCCCCCGCUCCUGCUCCCUCCAUCACUGACCUGCACUCUGACUCUAGUCUCCUCUUUUUGCUGAAGGUAAAUGCCAGAAAGAAAGGACAGACAGAUGGACCGUGUUAGCUAGUGGCCCCAGCUUGUACCUCAGGACAGAGGAGGGGGAGGACAUAGAAACGGGGGAGUUGUAGUUGAGGGCCAGUAAUGACCCACUUCCCAGGGACACCCACACUUGGAAUGGGGUUUACUUGAACCCAGGGCGGACGGUAAUACCCAGUGGGGGUGGGGCUUAGAGUGAGGCGGGGCUUAUCGAAUGGGCGGGACUGAGAGGGGUUAAGCUGCAGGCUAGGAAUCCAAGGGGGUGGGGCUGGUUUAAGUUAACUGGUCCCAAGGGUAGCAUCUGUGUCCGGUGUAUCCCCAAGGCCCCUCCCAGUCUCGCCCUAGGACCAUGCGCCGCUCUCACCGGCUCCUCCGAUGACUGCCUUUCUUUUUCUUCUUCUUCUUGGGAGGGGGCGAUGCGGAGCUGCUGGACCAGUGCUUGGUCCUGGGCGAGAAGGGGCGGCGGGGGCGGUGAGAGAGGCGGCCCGGUGUUGCCCUCCCCUCCGCCGCGGCGGCCGCUCACCUGUAC